UCACUGAUGGCCUGAAGAUUAACCCAACCUGAGCAUUUGACUUGGCUGCUGACCUUCAGUAAGUGCUACAUGUUGGGGCGGUUGACAUGGC